ensembl:lincRNA
GCAUGACCAGAACUAUGACUGCAAGCUCCCGAAGGCAAUGCUUCUUCCACAGACUCAUGAAGUUGGCAGAUGAGAACAAUGACCUCAUGGCCUCAUGGUGGUCCUAUGUCCCCGGCAUCAACAUCUCCAUCAUAGUCCUGCAUUGACUCACAAGGCAAACGAACAUCUACAUACUCAAGAAAGGACCGAAAAACCAGGAGUAGUUCUCAGUCUCUGCUUCUGACCUCAAGUACCAAUAGGGAAAAUAUAUCCCUUGAAGUGGAAGUGUGCUCAUCACUAGGCAAUGGAUCAUGAUAGUUCCUUCUAGAUGCUACCCUAAUCCUUCGCUCUUUCUCCAUGAUCAUUGGGUCGUGAAUCUGUGUACGUGCCUGCUGUUGUCACUGGACUUAAAAGCAGAACUGACCACUGCAUUCUCACGACCCCUGACGGUCACGUCUCCCCAUCUCACGGAUGAGAUGCCAGUCCGAUAUGUCAGCUGUGUUUUGCUUCAGCCUGAAUUCUGGGAAGUGUUACCAUUUCUCUUCCUGAACAUUUGCUUUGAAGAUAAAGAGAGGAUGUUCAUCUCCCCCAAGGACCUCCCCGGGCGUUCCUGCCUGUCAGUCUUGUCCUUGCUUUGGGAAAUUACAUCAGCCAAACAUGAGCUGGACGAACAACCCAUCAGGUGACUGCACCCAAAUGAAGAGAAGCCCAAGGGAAAGUCCUCUGUAGCAUCCUUCUUCCCUUUGAUACCCAGGCAGUGACUCUAGGAAGGUGACUUAUUUUCACUAACACCCCAGAUCGGUGUAGUCAAUUUUAAAACCAGGCCCACAAGCACUGACGCAGUAAAAAGCCCUGUGGCCUGGUGACCUGGGCUCUGGGUCUGGCAUUGUCACUGACCAGCUGUGACCUCAGAAGUGUCUUUACUUCCCUGGCCUCUGGGUCUUCAACUGGAAAAUGGGAGCGUUGGGUUGAAGUGGUACUAACGUUUUCAAUUAUAUGUUUACUCUUUUUUUUUUUUUUUAUUAUAUCUCCAACUGCUCUAUGGUCUAUGUUGAAAGAAUUUUGACUUCUCAACACAUUGAACUUGUUAAGCAGCAGCCUUUAUUUUAUUUCUCUUUUUUAUUCAUCAAAGCAUAUGCCGGAGCCUCUGAUCAACGUGACUGGUUAAUCUUCUUCCAGCCAAAUAAAACCUCAUUGUAAGGACACAUGGUUUCUUAUAGGAUGUUUGAAAUUUUGAAAAUAUGUCACAAAUCCCUACUCCAAUCCUCAUGGGCCCCUAAAAAUUCUAAGGAUCCCAAAUGAGGAACAAAUGGGCUAAAACAUGGUUAGAGAAGCCUCCUGUGUCCAGUAUUGUGGUAAAGAUGACAGAGCCCCAAAACCCCUAUACAAGAAAAGAAAAGAAAAAUGUUACAGCACUGGUUUAAAUAGCCCAAGCUCAGGCUGUGAAAGCUCAGGCCUUGUCUUUCUUUUCUGUUGGAGGAGAUGGCUUCUAUCCAUGCUUCCCCUCCAUUUAAUCUUGCCGGUACCAGAAUUCACUGAAUAGCUGAGCUGUCUCCACCAAUGAAUACCCAAAAUGAUGAAAAACAAACACUUACCUCUCUUUCUGAUGGUUUCAUUUACCAACUUCCCUAAUACUUAUGGAUCAUUCUAGACUUCAAAGAAUGCAUUUUCUAUCUGACUUUAUAUUUUUAAUAUAGUGAUAGAGUACUUACUGUUUUCCAGGCAAACGGUAGGCACAUAGCACAUGCUUGCUGGACCAACACCUGUAUGAAUGGACUCUGUUAAGCGUUUCCACAUAGUCCAUGCAAUUUAACUCUCUCAGCAGCUCUGUAAGAUAGGGAGUAUUCUUCCUGUUUCCCCACUGAGGAAACUGAGUCUGAGUCAGGUGCUAUUAAUUGUUCAGAGUCAUACAGUUAGUAAGUGGUGAGGCAGGCUUAAACCCAGAUCUUUUGUCCACACAUUGCUGGGCAGGUGCCCUACAG